rnacentral:rRNA from 1 species
GGGUCAGUAGGUUGGUCGUGCCACCGGUACGUACUGGUCUCACUGAUUCCUCCUUCCUGAAGAACCGUAGUGCCAUUAAUUUGGUGUUGCGGGGAAACAGGACUGUUACUUUGAAAAAAUUAGAGUGUUUAAAGCAGGCUAACGCUUGAAUACAUUAGCAUGGAAUAAUGAAAUAGGACGAUCGAUCCUAUUUUGUUGGUUUCUAGGAUUGACGUA